CAAUAGCGUAUAUUAAAGUUGUUGCAGUUAAAAAGCUCGUAGUUGGAUUUCUGUGAGAGUGCCGGUGUCGGCUGAUGCUUGUACGCAGGCGCUCUUACAUCCUUCUGUUAACUGUUCUUGGCAUUUUAUUGCUGGUUCAGGGCUCAGAUAUUUUACCUUGAGAAAAUUAGAGUGUUUCAGGCAGGCUUAUGCCGGAAUACAUUAGCAUGGAAUAAUGGAACAGGACCUGUGCGUCUCUCGGGGCGCCGGUCUCCGUUAUUGGUUUCGGGGACUAAUGUAAUGAUUAAUAGGGAUAGUUGGGGGCAUUAGUAUUUAAUAGUCAGAGGUGAAAUUCUCGGAUUUGUUAAAGACUAACUUAUGCGAAAGCAUUUGCCAAGGAUGUUUUCAUUA
rnacentral:rRNA from 1 species